GAUGAACGCUGGCGGCGUGCCUAAUACAUGCAAGUCGAGCGAACAGAUAAGGAGCUUGCUCCUUUGAAGUUAGCGGCGGACGGGUGAGUAACACGUGGGUAACCUACCUAUAAGACUGGGAUAACUUCGGGAAACCGGAGCUAAUACCGGAUAACAUUUAGAACCGCAUGGCUCUAAAGUGAAAGAUGGUUUUGCUAUCACUUAUAGAUGGACCCGCGCCGUAUUAGCUAGUUGGUAAGGUAACGGCUUACCAAGGCGAUGAUACGUAGCCGACCUGAGAGGGUGAUCGGCCACACUGGAACUGAGACACGGUCCAGACUCCUACGGGAGGCAGCAGUAGGGAAUCUUCCGCAAUGGGCGAAAGCCUGACGGAGCAACGCCGCGUGAGUGAUGAAGGGUUUCGGCUCGUAAAACUCUGUUAUUAGGGAAGAACAAAUGUGUAAGUAACUGUGCACAUCUUGACGGUACCUAAUCAGAAAGCCACGGCUAACUACGUGCCAGCAGCCGCGGUAAUACGUAGGUGGCAAGCGUUAUCCGGAAUUAUUGGGCGUAAAGCGCGCGUAGGCGGUUUCUUAAGUCUGAUGUGAAAGCCCACGGCUCAACCGUGGAGGGUCAUUGGAAACUGGGAAACUUGAGUGCAGAAGAGGAAAGUGGAAUUCCAUGUGUAGCGGUGAAAUGCGCAGAGAUAUGGAGGAACACCAGUGGCGAAGGCGACUUUCUGGUCUGUAACUGACGCUGAUGUGCGAAAGCGUGGGGAUCAAACAGGAUUAGAUACCCUGGUAGUCCACGCCGUAAACGAUGAGUGCUAAGUGUUAGGGGGUUUCCGCCCCUUAGUGCUGCAGCUAACGCAUUAAGCACUCCGCCUGGGGAGUACGACCGCAAGGUUGAAACUCAAAGGAAUUGACGGGGACCCGCACAAGCGGUGGAGCAUGUGGUUUAAUUCGAAGCAACGCGAAGAACCUUACCAAAUCUUGACAUCCUUUGAAAACUCUAGAGAUAGAGCCUUCCCCUUCGGGGGACAAAGUGACAGGUGGUGCAUGGUUGUCGUCAGCUCGUGUCGUGAGAUGUUGGGUUAAGUCCCGCAACGAGCGCAACCCUUAAGCUUAGUUGCCAUCAUUAAGUUGGGCACUCUAGGUUGACUGCCGGUGACAAACCGGAGGAAGGUGGGGAUGACGUCAAAUCAUCAUGCCCCUUAUGAUUUGGGCUACACACGUGCUACAAUGGACAAUACAAAGGGCAGCUAAACCGCGAGGUCAUGCAAAUCCCAUAAAGUUGUUCUCAGUUCGGAUUGUAGUCUGCAACUCGACUACAUGAAGCUGGAAUCGCUAGUAAUCGUAGAUCAGCAUGCUACGGUGAAUACGUUCCCGGGUCU
rnacentral:rRNA from 1 species